rnacentral:rRNA from 1 species
AUACGAAGGGGGCUAGCGUUGUUCGGAAUCACUGGGCGUAAAGCGCGCGUAGGUGGAGCAAUUAGUUGAGGGUGAAAUCCCGGGGCUCAACCUCGGAACUGCCUUCAAUACUGUUGAUCUUGAGACCGAGAGAGGUGAGUGGAAUUCCUAGUGUAGAGGUGAAAUUCGUAGAUAUUAGGAAGAACACCAGUGGCGAAGGCGGCUCACUGGCUCGGUACUGACGCUGAGGUGCGAAAGCGUGGGGAGCAAACAGGAUUAGAAACCCUAGUAGUCC